rnacentral:rRNA from 1 species
UGGGGAAUUUUGGACAAUGGGCGAAAGCCUGAUCCAGCAAUGCCGCGUGUGUGAAGAAGGCCUUCGGGUUGUAAAGCACUUUUGUCCGGAAAGAAAUCCUUGGCUCUAAUACAGUCGGGGGAUGACGGUACCGGAAGAAUAAGCACCGGCUAACUACGUGCCAGCAGCCGCGGUAAUACGUAGGGUGCAAGCGUUAAUCGGAAUUACUGGGCGUAAAGCGUGCGCAGGCGGUUUGCUAAGACCGAUGUGAAAUCCCCGGGCUCAACCUGGGAACUGCAUUGGUGACUGGCAGGCUAGAGUAUGGCAGAGGGGGGUUAGAAUUCCACGUGUAGCAGUGAAAUGCGUAGAGAUGUGGAGGAAUACCGAUGGCGAAGGCAGCCCCCUGGGCCAAUACUGACGCUCAUGCACGAAAGCGUGGGGAGCAAACAGGAUUAGAUACCCUGGUAGUCCACGCCCUAAAACGAUGUCAACUAGUUGUUGGGGGAUUCAUUUCCUUAGUAACGUAGCUAACGCGUGAAGUUGACCGCCUGGGGAGUACGGUCGCAAGAUUAAAACUCAAAGGAAUUGACGGGGUCAUAGCUG